CCUACGGGCGGUAGCAGUGAGGAAUAUUGGUCAAUGGGCGGGAGCCUGAACCAGCCAAGCCGCGUGAAGGAAGAAGGCGCCAGGCGUCGUAAACUUCUUUUGUCGGGGAACAAAGGGCGCCACGUGUGGCGUUGUGAGUGUACCCGAAGAAAAAGCAUCGGCUAACUCCGUGCCAGCAGCCGCGGUAAUACGGAGGAUGCGAGCGUUAUCCGGAUUUAUUGGGUUUAAAGGGUGCGUAGGCGGUCCGGAAAGUAAGCGGGAAAAGCCCGGGGCUCAACCCCGGCGAGCCGUUGAAACUGUCGGACUAGAGACGGCGAGAGGUACGCGGAAUGCGCGGUGUAGCGGUGAAAUGCAUAGAGAUCGCGCAGAACUCCGAUUGCGAAGGCAGCGUACCGGCGCCGGACUGACGCUGAGGCACGAAAGCGUGGGUAUCGAACAGGAUUAGAUACCCGGGUAGUC
rnacentral:rRNA from 1 species